GUCAGAUCAUCUGCAUCCUCCUUGACUGGAGACACAAAGCCUGUGGGACUCCUAACAGCUCCUGGUCCCUGACUGACCUCAUCUGAGCAGCCUUUUGGCCGUAGGUCUGGACCAUUAAAAACACGACGUUCUGUUUGUCUGCUGUCUUGAGUGACAGCAUGUCUGAGAUGACUGAGUCCCAAUGGCGAAUGUGAAAUUGACGGAGGACAUCUUUGAAAAUCUGAAGCUCCUUGUCACUGAGAUCAGCCAGUGUUUCCAGAAGCAGCUCUGUGACAGACGCCAUCGUUUCCACCUGGGUACCCACCUCCCUCCUCGGUGUUCACACCAGAUGCUUCAGCUGAUGAUCCUGCAGCU